rnacentral:misc_RNA from 1 species
UCUCCGUUGGUGAACCGGCGGGGGGAUCAUUACCGAGUUAUCAACUCCCAAACCCCUGUGAACAUACCCAACGUUGCUUCGGCGGGACCGCCCCGGCGCCCUCGGCGUCCCGGAACCAGGCGCCCGCCGGAGGACCCAAACUCUUGUUUAAACCAUAGUGGCAUAUUCUGAGUCUCACAAGAAAAAUGAAUCAAAACUUUCAACAACGGAUCUCUUGGCUCUG